GAUGAACGCUGGCGGCGUCCCUAAUACAUGCGAGUCGAGCGAACAGACGAGGAGCUUGCUCCUCUGACGUUAGCGGCGGACGGGUGAGUAACACGUGGAUAACCUACCUAUAAGACUGGGAUAACUUCGGGAAACCGGAGCUAAUACCGGAUAAUAUAUUGAACCGCAUGGUUCAAUAGUGAAAGACGGUUUUGCUGUCACUUAUAGAUGGAUCCGCGCCGCAUUAGCUAGUUGGUAAGGUAACGGCUUACCAAGGCAACGAUGCGUAGCCGACCUGAGAGGGUGAUCGGCCCAAAUGGAACUGAGACACGGUCCCGACACCCAAGGGAGGAAGCAGUAGGGAAAGCUACGGAAUGGGCGGAAGCCUGAAGGAGCAACGGCGAGGGAGUGAUGAAGGACUUAGGAUGCUAAAAACUUGUUAUUAGGGAAGAACAAAUGUGUAAGUAACUAUGCACGUCUUGACGGUACCUAAUCAGAAAGCCACGGCUAACUACGUG
rnacentral:rRNA from 1 species